rnacentral:lncRNA from 1 species
CCCUUCGAUGGCCGAUAAUUUAUAGGUUCGUUUCCCACCUGCGAAUUUUUACAAACAACGACGUGAAAUUUCACGUUCCUAGCUAGUUACGCCUAACCUAACAAGUUAACUUGAUGGGAACAUCCCUCAUAAAAAGCAAAGGAUAACGCCUAAGCGACAGCCCUGCACGGGUGUUUGCGAGACUUUAUGGAAUGGCGAGCGAAGAUAGUGAGUGUCACAGGUCAAGGCAAGCGUCAGAGGGCGUCAACCGCCUGAAACAAGCGCGAUUUUAUAUGCGCGGCAGUGGUAGAUAUAGGAAUCCUAGCUUGGAUCGAAUCUUCAAAUGGGUGGAGGACACUAUCUGGGCUGAGCGUGCACGCUCGGCUAUCGAUGACACUGAGCUUAAGGAGUGGCUUGCUUUUACGGAAAGUAUGUUGGAAGCCCUUGAGCGUGCUCGGUACUCACCCGAAUUCAUGGGGCUAAACGAUAGGGAUGAGAAAUCUCAGGUCGAGUUUCUAAAGAAAUGGAUAGUAAUGCAAGGCAAAUUGGCACAAAAGAUCUCCUCCAAAAGACUUGAAAUAUUGGCAAUGGAGAUGCAGGAUUACAUUUAUGAGCCUAUUGAGUUUCCACCCUGACGUGCCGAAACGAUCGUUCCUAUGCGCGCACUACAGAACAAAAUUGACCAUAAAAUCUCCGAUUUUUUGUAGAAGACGGAAUCCGCAAUAGUUUUCAGCUGGAACGUUUAGGCUUUAGAUUCUUGGCAAGUAGGAUAAAACUGUUUGAAGUAAAACGAGCAGUGAAAGCACAAUUCUAUCCCAAAAAGGUAUCCAUUCUUAAAUUUCGGAUAUUUAAUGUUCGUCUCGGUGUCAUGGAGAUACGGUCCUAAUAUUACGGACAGAAAAUGGAACUUCACGUUGGUCAAAGGAAACUGGUUAUUGCUCACCCCAUAACGACGCGUCGAGAAUGGAGCAUUAGAAAAUGUGAGAGGUUUAUUGUAAGGAUUGAAAACACUUGAUUCUGGCGUCACAUUCGGCCUACGCUUGCGUUUGCCUACCUUUAUUUUAAAAGGCAGCUGUCUCGCGAUUGCUUACGAAUGUUGUUGGCUCAAUCGCACGAUUCCCAGGAGCACCGUGGCGAGCGUCGUAUGAGAGAAUGAGCUGUCGCCGAAUAUGAAGCUGUACAUGGCGUCCACUCCUACACGAAACAGAAGGCAGAGUAAAAAAACUCGUUUGGUGUCUCUACGGUUUUCACACGAGUUUCAUCGCUCCGUCCUGAUUAAAGGCAAACUUGCACAGAGAACGGUGAGCGCCGCUGCGGCUAUCCUUCUGUAGACACGGACUAAGAGCAUAAUAUCACAGAAAAUGAACAUUGAUCCUCGAGAAUCACCGGCCAGUACUACAACGAAUCAUCAAAUCAACGUGAUUGUAUUACGUACGUGGUGGUAGAACGUGGGGCAAUAUGUAACGGUGAUAGAACCGGGCAGCUGAUCGCUGUCGUAGACGGUAAUGUGAAGGAAAUUAUCAACGUUCUUGCAUAACAUAAACUUCUCCAAUGCACGAAUAUUGAGGUUACGGCACAUUACGAAGCGUUUCUUCGACGCAAGUGAUCACCCUGUCCAACAAUGAUUAAAAUAUUAGUCGGAUUACAAAAAAAUCUAUGCUAAAACUACAAAAAAAAUACAAAAAUAAUAGGUGUUUUUCACAAGAUUAGAUUUUUGCCUACCUAAUCGAGUACGAGUAAUUUCCUCGUUGUAUAGCAGAAUGCAAACACCAUUUUUUCUCUAGUAUACUGAUCAAUCAUGCACAUGUCGUCGUAUCAGAAAUCGCUUCCGGUGUCGUACCCUUGAUUCAUCUUGCACGCGGCUUGACAAUAGCUCACUAUUUCAUACAUGUGAAGAUGAAGGAAAUAGUAAAGCACUGAUCGAUAAAGUGUCGAGUACGAUGAAAUUGACAAGGUAACAAACUGUAGCUAAAGCAUACCAUCCGUAUAAUAACAAUUUGAUGUACAUUUUUUGUUUUUGACCAUUGCAACGACGCAGAGAAAAUGAAUGCCUGUAAUGAUAUGUGUAUAAUGUCAACAAAUAUGAGAUGGCAACCCUGAUCAUUAUCUCGCAAAAUACCGUACGCAAGAAUCAAUAACCAACAACAGUGACCGUUUAAGCAUCAAGAACUCAAUUUUCUUCAUAGCUGAAAAAAUGAAUACAUUUCAAAAGAAGCCUUGAUUGAGAUAGAGUGGAAAUUAUUACGAUUCCUAUUAAAAAAUACACUGUGCUCUACUUGCUGUUUAAGCGUCAUCUCUUGCAAUAGUUACAUUUCCAUUUUGGUUCUGUUCUGGCAGCCUUCUAUUACACUCCGAAUACGUUCCCCAAUAAACAACACAUUUAUCAUUGACGCUAUACUGACUACGUCCAUAUUUCGCAUAGUUCUCAAGUUAGCUUAUUAUUCGCUAGGACACAAACUAUAGCUUUUAAGUUUACUAAAAAGUCUAUCUUUUAAAAACCAUGGACAUAAAAUACGAGUUCCCAGCCACAGAAAGUCUGACACAAAUGACCCAGACGGCCUUUUGUAGCGCUUACUGCAAUAGCUGACAUGCGUUAGUCUGGUGAAGACAAGCGACCGUGCCAAUUACGCAUAAACGCUUAAAAACACACUGCUAUGUACGCAACACGUUAGCGACGACAAUAGGAUCCAGCUUGCCACUCGUUCGAUCGAUCUUCUAUGUCUUGCGAGCAGUAACUAGCACGCGUGCAAUGUUUCGAGACAGUUGCUAUACUCGGCGCCUGAAUAUUCACCUAACUUCGACGGCGUCAGGUGAGCCGGUAGCCCCUAGGUUCUGGCCUAUAACCUUUGUCAAGGCUGCCCCAAAAUUGGCCAACGAGUAUUCGACAGUUUUCAUAUCGACAAUAUAAUACCAAGUUAUCGUUAUCCCAAGCUAUUAGAUCUACAUAGUGUCCGACGAAAGUUGGUCUUCUGUAAGCAAUUUCAUCUUCACACUGCGCGAAGCGAGGCUCACCCUUAGGAUAGUGAGCUCCUGGAACUGUUUA